CCUCUAUCAGCUCCUGAGCGAUGUCGAACUCUUGCUUUGCUAAAAACUUGAAGCAUCAGGAAGGGAAAAAGCAAUUACAAAUUAGAAGAUCAGGGAAGGGGCACGGUCCGUGGCUGAGGGGGGCCGCUGAGGGGGGCUCCCGCGCUCCGAGGCGCCCUCACCCGCCGCAGCUGGGACCAAUUGCUCAGCUUGGCGGCCAGCGAGCAGCCGUUCCUGUAGGCGUCGGGCUGGAUGUGGGCGGGGAAGCGGCGAGACAGGAUCUCCGCCACCAGAUUUUCCCAAGUCAAGUUUGAAAGUCACUCUGCACAGCUGAAGAAAAUGAGUAUCUACAAAGCCGAGCCCUAUAGCUCUCUCACGUGAAAACAGACCUGAAAACAGAAUGAUGGUUUAAAUGUUAAUGCUCAUAUGGUAUUUUGGAAGAAUCAACAAUGUGAAGAAUGAGACUUGAACACAAAAUAAUCGAGAGCAAGACUGGGAAAAUAGAAAAGAAAAGCUACAGAUGUUGGAACUGAAAUCAGAAAGUAUAAGUCUAAGUAAAUAAAAAAAGGAAUUGACAAUUGAUGUGACUGUCAGUGUGUCUGAACAUUAAAAAAAAAUGGCAAUGGUAAAUGUUCCAAAUUUUGUAAUGCACGGCAAUGUGAAGCAACUGGAGUCUGAUCUGCAGCAGUGCAGAACAGUGAUAGCUUCCAAAGAGAGAUAUGCAACACUAUAAAAAUAUGAAAGCACUUAAAACAGCAUGGACUCAAUCUGCACAUUCUGAUUUCCUC
rnacentral:lncRNA from 1 species